UACGAAGGGGGCUAGCGUUGCUCGGAAUUACUGGGCGUAAAGGGCGCGUAGGCGGACAGUUUAGUCAGAGGUAAAAGCCCAGGGCUCAACCUUGGAACUGCCUUUGAUACUGACUGUCUUGAGUUCGGGAGAGGUGAGUGGAAUGCCGAGUGUAGAGGUGAAAUUCGUAGAUAUUCGGCGGAACACCAGUGGCGAAGGCGAGUCCCUGGACAACACCUGACACUGAGGCACGAAAGCUAGGGGAGCAAACAGG
rnacentral:rRNA from 1 species